UGGGGAAUAUUGCACAAUGGGCGCAAGCCUGAUGCAGCCAUGCCGCGUGUAUGAAGAAGGCCUUCGGGUUGUAAAGUACUUUCAGUCGGGAGGAAGGUGUCAAGGUUAAUAACCUUGGCAAUUGACGUUACCGACAGAAGAAGCACCGGCUAACUCCGUGCCAGCAGCCGCGGUAAUACGGAGGGUGCAAGCGUUAAUCGGAAUUACUGGGCGUAAAGCGCACGCAGGCGGUUGAUUGAGUCAGAUGUGAAAUCCCCGGGCUUAACCCGGGAAUUGCAUCUGAUACUGGUCAGCUAGAGUCUU
rnacentral:rRNA from 1 species